rnacentral:rRNA from 1 species
GGCGGACGGGUGAGUAACGCGUAAGGAACUUGCCUCUUGGUCUGGGACAACUGUUGGAAACGACAGCUAAUACCGGAUAUUAUGAGAUUCUCGCAUGGGAAACUUAUGAAAGCUAUAUGCGCCAAGAGAGAGCCUUGCGUUCCAUUAGCUAGUUGGUGGGGUAACGGCCCACCAAGGCGACGAUGGAUAGCCGGCCUGAGAGGGUGAACGGCCACAAGGGGACUGAGACACGGCCCUUACUCCUACGGGAGGCAGCAGUGGGGAAUAUUGGACAAUGGGCCACAAGCCUGAUCCAGCAAUUCUGUGUGCACGAUGAAGGUCUUCGGAUUGUAAAGUGCUUUCAGUUGGGAAGAAGAAAGUGACGGUACCAACAGAAGAAGCGACGGCUAAAUACGUGCCAGCAGCCGCGGUAAUACGUAUGUCGCAAGCGUUAUCCGGAUUUAUUGGGCGUAAAGCGCGUCUAGGCGGAAAAAUAAGUCUGAUGUUAAAAUGCGGGGCUCAACUCCGUAUUGCGUUGGAAACUGUUUUUCUAGAGUACUGGAGAGGUGGGCGGAACUACAAGUGUAGAGGUGAAAUUCGUAGAUAUUUGUAGGAAUGCCGAUGGAGAAGUCAGCUCACUGGACAGAUACUGACGCUAAAGCGCGAAAGCGUGGGGAGCAAAC